CUUUAAAUAGGUAGGACGUGUCGGC
rnacentral:snRNA from 1 species